AGAGUUUGAUCCUGGCUCAGAAUGAACGCUGGCGGCGUGCUUAACACAUGCAAGUCGUACGAGAAAUCCUUGGCUUGCCAGGGAGAGUAAAGUGGCGCACGGGUGAGUAACGCGUGGGUAAUCUACCCUUGGAUUCAGGAUAACACUUCGAAAGGGGUGCUAAUACUGGAUAACAUCCUGAUGGUUUAGGCCAUAAGGAUCAAAGAUAGCCUCUACAUGUAAGCUAUUGUACAGGGAUGAGCCCGCGUACCAUUAGCUAGUUGGUGGGGUAAGAGCCUACCAAGGCAACGAUGGUUAGCUGGUCUGAGAGGAUGAUCAGCCACACUGGAACUGAAACACGGUCCAGACUCCUACGGGAGGCAGCAGUGAGGAAUUUUGCGCAAUGGGGGAAACCCUGACGCAGCAACGCCGCGUGAGUGAAGAAGGCUUUCGGGUCGUAAAGCUCUGUCAAGAGGGAAGAAAGUGGGGAGGUGGUAAUACUGUUUUCUAUUGACGGUACCUCUGAAGGAAGCACCGGCUAACUCCGUGCCAGCAGCCGCGGUAAUACGGGGGGUGCAAGCGUUAUUCGGAUUUAUUGGGCGUAAAGAGCGCGUAGGCGGUUUAUCAAGUCAGAUGUGAAAGCCCUGGGCUCAACCUGGGAAGUGCAUUUGAAACUAGUAGACUUGAGUAUGGGAGAGGGGAGUGGAAUUCCUGGUGUAGAGGUGAAAUUCGUAGAUAUCAGGAGGAACACCGGUGGCGAAGGCGACUUCCUGGACCAAUACUGACGCUGAGGCGCGAAGGCGUGGGGAGCAAACAGGAUUAGAUACCCUGGUAGUCCACGCAGUAAACGGUGAUCACUAGGUGUAGCGGGUAUUGACCCCUGCUGUGCCGCAGUUAACGCAUUAAGUGAUCCGCCUGGGGAGUACGAUCGCAAGGUUAAAACUCAAAGGAAUUGACGG
rnacentral:rRNA from 1 species